rnacentral:rRNA from 1 species
GUCAGAGUUUGAUCCUGGCUCAGAUUGAACGCUGGCGGCAUGCUUUACACAUGCAAGUCGAACGGUAACAGGUUAAGCUGACGAGUGGCGAACGGGUGAGUAAUGCAUCGGAACGUGCCCGAUCGUGGGGAUAACGCAGCGAAAGCUGCGCUAAUACCGCAUACGAUCUGAGGAUGAAAGCGGGGACCGUAAGGCCUCGCGCGAUCGGAGCGGCCGAUGUCAGAUUAGGUAGUUGGUGGGUAAAGGCUCACCAAGCCAACGAUCUGUAGCUGGUCUGAGAGGACGACCAGCCACACUGGGGACUGAGACACGGCCCAGACUCCUACGGGAGCAGCAGUGGGGAAUUUUGGACAAUGGGCGAAAGCCUGAUCCCAGCAAUGCCGCGUGCA